rnacentral:rRNA from 1 species
ACACGUAUGAAAGACAAGCUGAAAGACUUUUCUCAAUGAUGUAAGUGGUGGUGCAUGGUCGUUCUUAGUUCGUGGAUUGAUUUGUCUGGUCUAUUCCGAUAACGAGCGAGACCCCGACGUUCCUAAUAGGGGUGGCAGCCCGGCUCGUCCGCUUCGGUGGACUUGCUAGCAGCCGCCUAAUUAGCUUCUUAGACGUAUCAGAGCCGAUAAGGUUCUUGAAAUGGGUUAAUAACAGGUCAGUCAUGCCCUUAGAUGUUCUGGGCCGCACGCGCGUUACAAUGGUAUACAUUAGAACGUGCUCUCAAGGGCGUUUCCGCGGCCGACGGGUCGCGGUAACCCCUAAUCUCUCCCUUGACUGGGACAGACUAUUGCAAUUAUUGGUCUCCAACGAGGAAUUUUUAGUAGUCGCAGGUCAUUAACCUGCGACG